rnacentral:rRNA from 1 species
GGGCCCGCACAAGCGGUGGAGCAUGUGGUUUAAUUCGAUGAUACGCGAGGAACCUUACCAGGGCUUAAAUGUAGGUUGCAUGAUCUAGAGAUAGACCUUUCUUCGGACUACCUACAAGGUGCUGCAUGGUUGUCGUCAGCUCGUGCCGUGAGGUGUCAGGUUAAGUCCUAUAACGAGCGCAACCCCUGUCGUUAGUUACCAGCAAUUAAAGUUGGGUACUCUAGCGAGACUGCCGGUGCAAACCGUGAGGAAGGUGGGGAUGACGUCAAAUCAUCACGGCCCUUACGUCCUGGGCUACACACGUGCUACAAUGGCCGGUACAGAGAGCAGCCACUACGCGAGUAGGAGCGAAUCUUCAAAGCCGGUCUCAGUUCGGAUCGCAGUCUGCAACUCGACUGCGUGAAGCUGGAAUCGCUAGUAAUCGGAUAUC